AGAAUAUUAUAGACGGGGCAGGGAAGGUGAGGAGUAGGAGAAUAUUAUAGACGGGGCAGGGAAGGUGAGGAGUAGGAGAAUAUUAUAGACGGGGCAGGGAAGGUGAGGAGUAGGAGAAUAAUAUAGACGGGGCAGGGAAGGUGAGGAGUAGGAGAAUAUUAUAGAUGGGGCAGGGAAGGUGAGGAGUAGGAGAAUAUUAUAGACGGGGCAGGGAAGGUGAGGAGUAGGAGAAUAUUAUAGACGGAGCAGGGAAGGUGAGGAGUAGGAGAAU
rnacentral:lncRNA from 1 species